rnacentral:rRNA from 1 species
GUACAUCCAGAGAACUUAGCAGAGAUGCUUUGGUGCCUUCGGGAACUCUGAGACAGGUGCUGCAUGGCUGUCGUCAGCUCGUGUUGUGAAAUGUUGGGUUAAGUCCCGCAACGAGCGCAACCCUUAUCCUUUGUUGCCAGCGGUUCGGCCGGGAACUCAAAGGAGACUGCCGGUGAUAAACCGGAGGAAGGUGGGGAUGACGUCAAGUCAUCAUGGCCCUUACGGCCAGGGCUACACACGUGCUACAAUGGCGCAUACAAAGAGAAGCGACCUCGCGAGAGCAAGCGGACCUCAUAAGGUGCGUCGUAGUCCGGAUUGGAGUCUGCAACUCGACUCCAUGAAGUCGGAAUCGCUAGUAAUCGUAGAUCAGAAUGCUACGGUGAAUACGUUCCCGGGCCUUGUACACACCGCCCGUCACACCAUGGGAGUGGGUUGCAAAAGAAGUAGGUAGCUUAACCUUCGGGAGGGCGCUUACCACUUUGUGAUUCAUGACUGGGGUGAAGUCGUAACAAGGUAGGCGUAGCGAG